rnacentral:rRNA from 1 species
AGUUUGAACCCCCGAAACUAGAUGAGCUACUUCGGAAUAGUCUUAAGAACAAACCCGUCUCUGUUGCAAAAGAGUGGGAUAAUUCCCGAGUAGAGGCAACAAACCUAUCGCACCUAGAGAUAGCUGGUUAUUCAAGAAAAGAAUUUAAGUUCAACCUUAAGUUUCUGUAUUAAACAAAAAACAAAACUUUAGAGCCACUCAAAUAAGGCACAGCUUAUUUGAGACAGGAUACAACCUACAACACAGGGUAAUGCAUAACAAAUAAAUAACAAGUAGGCCCAAAAGCAGCCAUCUUUAAAAAAGCGUCAAAGCUUAAUAUUUAUUCUAUUCUAAUACCAUCCCCCCCUACUAACCCUUCACCUAUAUUGAAUAACUCCAUAAACUUAUGGAAAUUUUUAUGCUAGAACUAGUAACAAGAAAUAGACUUUCUCCUAAAUGUAAGUUUAGGCCGUAACAGACAAACUACCGGCAACUAACGUAAAUGAACACAAUACAGCAACCCUAACAAGAAAAUCCUGUAUACACACACGUUACCCUUACACCAGAACAUUCAAGGAAAGAUUAAAAGA